rnacentral:rRNA from 1 species
AAGACUCUCGGCAAUGAAUAUCUCGGCUCUCGUAUCGAUGAAGAACGUAGUGAAAUGCGAUACUCGGUGUGAAUUGUAGAAUCCCGUGAACCAUUGAGUCUUUGAAUGCAAGUUGCGCCCCAAGCCAUUAGACCGAGGGCACAUCUUCCUAGGUGUCCAGCAUCGUCGCCCCAAUCCAACCCCGAUCUCUCGGGACUCGAUUUUACCGCAGGCAGAAAUUGGCCUCUCGUGCGCUGACAGCCAGCGGUUGGCCUAAAUUCGAGUCCUCGAUGACAUCAUCGUCGCGACCAUCUGUGGUAAUGCAGUAAGCAACCUCGUUCAGAGUUGUGUGCGUUCAUCGAUCGAGACCUGAACCCUUUGGCAUCGCAAGAACGGUGCUCGCAUCGCGACUCCAGGUCAUGCGGGAUACCGCUGAGUUUAAGCAUAUCAAUAAGUAGAGGAAAAGAAUCUUACCAGGAUUCCUCUAGUAACGGCGAAUGAACCGGGAAAAGCCCAGCUUGAGAAUCAGGCGCCACCAGUGUCUGAAUUGUAAUCUGGAGAAGCGUCUUCAGUGGUGGACCUGGCCCAAGUCCCUUGGAAAGGGGCACCGGAGAGGGUGAGAGCCCCGUUGUGCCUGGACCCUAUCGUAGCACGAGGCACUAUCUACGAGUCAGGUUGUUUGGGAAUGGAGCCCUAAUAGGGAGGUAAAUUUCGUCCAAGGCUAAAUACGGGCGAGAGACCGAUAGCGAACAAGUAUCGCGAGGGAAAGAUGAAAAGGACUUUGAAAAGAGAGUCAAAGAAUGCUUGAAAUUGUCGGGAGGGAAGCGGAUGGGGGGCGACGAUGUGCCCCAGCCGGAUAUGGAAUGGCGAGAGCUGGUCCACCGAUUGGCUCAGGGCAUGGACCGACGCGGGUCGUGGCUGCGGCCCAAGCUUGGGACUUUGAUACGCCUGUGGAGACGUCGUCGCCUCGAUCGUGGGAUCCAGCACGCGCCAUCUUGGUGUGCUUUGGCACUUGCAUGGUCCGGGCGUCAGCCUGCGGGCUCCCCAUUCGGCCGUCUUGAAACAUGGACCAAGGAGUCUGACAUGUGUACGAGUCAAAAGGCUAGAAAACCCGUAAGGCGUAAGAAAGCUGAUUGGCGGGAUCCAUCGUGGGUGCAUCGUCGACAGACCUUGAUCUUCUGAGAAGGGUUCGAGUGAGAGCUUGCCUAUCGGGACCCGAAAGAUGGUGAACUAUGCCUGAGCAGGGCAAAGCAGAGGAAACUCUACUACAAGCCUGCAGCGAUUCUGAUGUGCAAAUCGUUCAUCUGACUUAGGUAUAGGGGCGAAAGACUAAUCGAACCAUCUAGUAGCUGGUUCUCUCUGAAGUUUCCCUCAGGAUAGCUGGAGCCCUUAGCGAGUUCUAUUAGGUAAAGCCAAAGAUUAGAGGCAUCAGGGGCACAAUGCCCUCGACCUAUUCUCAAACAUUAAAUAGGUAGGACGGUGUGGCUACUUCGUUGAGCCGCGCCACCGAAUCGAGAGCUCCAAGUGGGCCAUUUUUGGUAAGUAAAACUGGCGAUAUAGGAUGAACCAGAAGUCGGGUUAUGGUGCCCAACUGUGCUCUAACCUAGAACCCACAAAGGGUAUUGGUCGAUUAAGACAGUAAGACGAUGGUCAUAGAAGUCGAAAUCCGCUAAGGAGUGUGUAACAACUCACUUGCCGAAUCAACUAUCCCCGAAAAUGGAUGGCGCUUAAGCGUGCGACCUAUACCCAAUCAUCGAGGUAAGGGCCAAGCCCCGAUGAGUAGGAGGACGCGGCGGUCACUGCAAAACCUGAGGCGUGAGCCUGGGCGGAGCGACCGUCGGUGUAGAUCUUGGUGGUAGUAGCAAAUAUUCAAAUGAGAACUUUGAAGGCCAAAGAGGGGAAAGGUUCCAUGUGAACAGCACUUGCACAUGGGUUAGUCGAUCCUAAAAGAUGGGGGAAGCCCAUCCGAUAGCGCGUCCAGCGUGAGCUUCGAAAGGGAAUCAGGUUAAAAUUCCUCAACCGGGACGCGGCAGUUGAUGGAAACAUUAGGGAGUCCGGAGACGUUGGCGAGGGCCACGGGAAGAGUUAUCCUUUCUAUUUAAUGGCCUGCCCAACCUGGAAACGGUUCAGUAGGAGGUAAGGUCCAGCGGCCGGAAGAGUACCGCAUAUUGUGUAGUGUCCGGUGCGCCCCCAACGGCCCCUGAAAAUCUGGAGGACCAAAUGUCGUCCGUGCUCGGUCAUACUCAUAACCGCAUCAAGUCUCCAAGGUGAACAACCUCUGGUCAAUGGAACAAUAUCGGCAAGGGAAGUCGGCAAAAUGGAUCUGUAACCUUGGGAAAUGGAUUGCCUCUGAGGGCUGGGCAUGGGGGUCCCAGUCCCGAACCCGUCAACUACCGGUGCACUGCUCAAGCUGCUUUUGUGGCGAGAGCGGGUUGCCGCGUGCCGGCCGGGGGACAGGUUAGGAACAAUUUCCUCGGGGACCUUCCCCGGGUGAUGAAAAGUCGACUCAAAAUUGGUACAG